UACGUGGGGUGCGAGCGUUGUCCGGAAUUAUUGGGCGUAAAGGGCUCGUAGGCGGUUUGUCGCGUCGGGAGUGAAAUCCACUGGCUUAACUGGUGGCUUGCUUUCGAUACGGGCAGACUGGAGGUAUGCAGGGGAGAACGGAAUUCCUGGUGUAGCGGUGAAAUGCGCAGAUAUCAGGAGGAACACCGGUGGCGAAGGCGGUUCUCUGGGCAUGUCCUGACGCUGAGGAGCGAAAGUGUGGGGAGCGAACAGG
rnacentral:rRNA from 1 species